UCAAUCCCUAAAUUUCUACGCCCAUCCUCUUCCUUCCUUCUUUGAACAAAAUUCCAAACUCCUCCAUCUCCAACCCAAAAUUUAUUCCACCAUUUUCGUGCAAAAAAGAAUACUUUUCUCAUGCUCUCCCCUCUCCCCUCUUCUUUCUUUGUGCCUUUUUAAUAUCUACCUCUGUCACGAGAUUUGGUUAGAGAAGGAGGCCAAAAAACCUUUUGAAUCAGAUUCUUCUGAGCUUUGACACUCAAACGGUCACAAAUAUUUAAAUUUUUUGGUUGGCUCUAAUUUCAAAAUCCCAUUCAAUCUCUACCCCAUAAACCCUAAGUUCCAUCUAUACAUACUUCCCAAAAAUCUUAGAAAAAAAGAUCAAGCAUGAACAGGGUAAAACCCAGGUUUGAAUCACACCAAAAAAAAAAUCUCUCUUGCUUCAAUUUACAUUCAAGUUCUAAAUCUCAAUUUAUUAGUGGAAGAGUAGUGGAUCUGAGACCUCAAAGCCUACAGUUUACUACCUAGCACAAGGUCGGUUCUUUAUUUUUUAUUUUUUUAUCUUCUAUACGAACAUAAUAUGUAUUUUUAUUAGCUAAUACAUUAAGUAAUAUGUGUUUGAUCAUUAUUGAUCAAUAUUUUAGGAGAACUUAUUUUGGAAAUGUCCUGUUAGAUAUAGCUCGGUAUAUUAUGUCAUUAGAGGCUUAGUUUAAAAUUACAUUUUAGUUUAUAUCCAUAACUAUGUUUAUAGAUGAAAGAAAGUGCACAUUCAGCAUAGCAUAAGGGACAUGAAAUAUAAAUCUAAUCUACUGUUUUAUUCGCAUGAGUACUAAAUAAUGAAAGGAUGUUUAAUUUUAAAUAAUUGUUUAUUUUUUGUAAUUGAGCCAUAAAAGAAAAUCUAACUUUAGUCUUAUUUUUGAAGUUUAAAUAUCAAUACCUAUAGGAAAACCUACAUGUAGAAAGUUCAUGUUUGAACAUUUUAGAAGUUUUCGGCACCAAUAAUAUUGAAUCAUCUGAAGUAUAUUCUCAGGUUUGAUUGUCAAAUCGUUCACUUGCAAACUGAUAUUUAUGUAGUUCUAUUGAAACAAUAAAUUAUUUAGUUCUUUAUUCAGAAACAUGUUUUAUGUUUUAUAUGCUCAUGUUUUAUUUGUGUGUUCAAAGAAUAUGCAUGUAGCAUCUUUAUUAUUUGUGGCAAGUUAUACUCUAUUGUGAGAAAUCAAUAACCCGCAGAUUAAACUUUCCUUUUGCUGUCAACUUAACCAUCAAUUUCUAUAAUUCAAGUGCAAAUGGAAUGUUUGUCUCCUAAGUGUAAAAUGUUAAGAUAUGACAUAAGUUAAGUGAACUUCUAUCUAUUCUGUUUGAGUUGAUACCAUGAAGGAAUCAAUUUUACAAUCUACUUUGAAUUAAUUAACGUGAUCUUUUUACUAUUUUACUUUAGCAUUUGUGAAUAUAUAGUUGAG
rnacentral:lncRNA from 1 species